rnacentral:lncRNA from 10 species
AUAAAGAAGACCUGUGAUUGUGAACUGGGAAUAAGAAGACUAAGAAGUGAGGCAGUGAGCAUGUAUGGAUCAUGAAAGGAGGUGAGGUGGUAUUUAUGGGGUAUACCAGGCCAGGCACGUGCCAGCAAGGAGUGAUAGGACUUGUGAAAAACUGAUGUCCUAAAUUCAAUAAAAAUAAAACAUAACAUCAUACUCAAUGGUGACAAACUUGAAGCUUUCCCAAGAAGA